rnacentral:rRNA from 1 species
GAUGAACGCUGGCGGCGUGCUUAACACAUGCAAGUCGAACGAUGAAGCCCAGCUUGCUGGGUGGAUUAGUGGCGAACGGGUGAGUAACACGUGAGUAACCUGCCCUUAACUCUGGGAUAAGCCUGGGAAACUGGGUCUAAUACCGGAUAGGAGCGUCCACCGCAUGGUGGGUGUUGGAAAGAUUUAUCGGUUUUGGAUGGACUCGCGGCCUAUCAGCUUGUUGGUGAGGUAAUGGCUCACCAAGGCGACGACGGGUAGCCGGCCUGAGAGGGUGACCGGCCACACUGGGACUGAGACACGGCCCAGACUCCUACGGGAGGCAGCAGUGGGGAUAUUGCACAAUGGGCGAAAGCCUGAUGCAGCGACGCCGCGUGAGGGAUGACGGCCUUCGGGUUGUAAACCUCUUUCAGUAGGGAAGAAGCGAAAGUGACGGUACCUGCAGAAGAAGCACCGGCUAACUACGUG